rnacentral:rRNA from 1 species
UACGGAGGGUGCGAGCGUUUAUCGGAAUUACUGGGCGUAAAGCGUGCGUAGGCGGAUGCUUGAGUCGGAUGUGACAGCCCUGGGCUCAACCUGGGAAUGGCAUUCGAUACUGGGCAUCUAGAGUGUGGUAGAGGGGGGUAGAAUUCCUGGUGUAGCGGUGAAAUGCGUAGAUAUCAGGAGGAAUAUUGGAGGAGAAGGCGACCACCGGGACCUACACUGACGCUGAGGUACGAAAGCGUGGGUAGCAAACAGG